rnacentral:rRNA from 1 species
UACGGAGGGGGGCUAGCGUUGUUCGGAAUUACUGGGCGUAAAGCGCACGUAGGCGGCUUUGUAAGUUAGAGGUGAAAGCCUGGUGCUCAACACCAGAAUUGCCUUUAAGACUGCAUCGCUUGAACGUCGGAGAGGUGAGUGGAAUUCCGAGUGUAGAGGUGAAAUUCGUAGAUAUUCGGAAGAACACCAGUGGCGAAGGCGGCUCACUGGACGACUGUUGACGCUGAGGUGCGAAAGCGUGGGGAGCAAACAGG